CAUCAGCUCUAGGAAGCCCUGCAGGCCCUUCAGUUUGGUUUCCAGUUCAGUUCUUCGGAGACACUCAGCAUCCAGGUCCUGGAGUUGGGAGUGGAGGUGCUGAGGGUGCUGGCCUUGCUCCAGGACCACAGCAAGACAGAGCUGCAUCAAGCAUGUGGCACUUCUGUUUUUGGAAGGGAGGAGAGCAGGAACAUUGGAUAGAGGCACGGACUGUGACUCUGGGGACUCCAAGUCACCUUUUGAGCUCUUGCCUGAAUCUGCGAUGUACCCUGGGGAAGGUCCAGCCACUGAGUCAGUAGGGAGACAUUGACCGGGAUCCCUGACAUGCUGGGAAGAUGUCAGAUCCCAGUAUUAGCCAAGGAGCACAAGACCUGCAGGACAGCUGACCAGUGUCUGAUGCCAGCAGGGCUGAAAACAGGGACAUCCAAGACCCUUAGAGCUAGCAUGACCCACCCUAGUCUCCAGCUGUCCACCUCUGAGCUGGCCAGUGUCUGAUGCCAGCAGGACUGACAACAGAGACAUCUGAGCUGGCAUGACCCAUGUGUAGUCCUUCCCCAGAGCCCCAAUGCCUAGGCUGUCUGUGUGUUUGAGAUCCCCGCAGCAGUCUGAUAGAGAGGACGCUGCCCUCCGAGGCUUCCCUCGUCUUUCCCCGUGGCUGUGGACUUGUUAGCCCCCCACCGGCAGGAGCCCCAGAAUCUGAGGCACAGAGAGGGACUCCUGGAAUCUGGACCAUCGGAGAAAGCGUCAAUCCUGCCUUCCCCCCAUGGAGAUCAGGAGGCCCUGAAAACCUGGUCACGGUGGCCAUUCGAAGGGUGACCCCUGUGAAAGGACCGUUAGACUAGGAUCUCGACCUGCAGGUGGAGAGACACUGCAUAGGGAGAUCAGUAUUUGGAGAGACUCCUGAUUCAGAAGUUGAAGUGGCUGAGGUCAGAGGGCCAUCGGUGACCUGGUGCGUGUUCUCC
rnacentral:lncRNA from 1 species